GCCAGAGACAGAAGCUGUCUUCCCUGGGUGCUGCUGGCCUCCAUGACAUGUGGCAGCCGGCAGUGGUCAGAGGCAGGCCGGGGCCCAGGGCCAGAGUUGGCAUAGGGUCCCGACUGCUCAUCUUCUCAGGUACAGGCCUCUCCCCACCCUCCUCCUCCGGCCCAGCUCCCCAGCCGGCCCUCACGUCUCUCUCUCCUGCAGCUCUCUUCCUCCUGCUGUUCCCAUGCCUGCAAGGCUGGCCCCGUGCCUCCAAAGGCGAGGUGCUGGUCCUGAGAAAGGAGCGCUGGCGGCUCUGCGGCAGCAUGGCGCUGGACCCCAAGGACAAGAAGUGGAGCUGCUGCAGAGGCUUCUACCCUUUCCACCGCCCUACGCAGAGGUGCUGCCAAACCUGGGGGAAGUUCCUGGUCAUCCCCAUGGACCCGGAAAAGUCAGAGGCUGAAGACUGCAGGAUGUACACCCAGAAAGCUCUAGGGCAGCCUGUCCACCUGCCUUCUGAGUCAUACCUGGGAGGGGAGGCAAAAACCUUGACACCAACUCGAUGCUUCGAGUGUGACUCACCACGCCCAGGACCUUAGGUCUCACUCUGAAAGAUCACACCAGUUUUCACUGCUGUUUCUAUACUGAACCUGUUGUCUCCUAAAUAUGAUUGGGAAAUAACGUGAUUGGAGUGAAAUUCCUUUCUGUACUGACACCUUCAACUCCAGACCACCCAGUGCUCUCAGCUCACAAGUCACGAAAGGCCAUACCCUGCUUUCCAAGGCCCCAAGCCUUGUGUGAUCUGGUCUCCCGCCUCUCGUCCUGCCCGCUAAGGUCCAUGACUAAGCCAUGGAGUCAUCCCUUCUCACUCUCAUCUUUGGGCCUCUGCACAUGCUGUUCUCUUUGCACCUGGACUUCACCCCGUUUACGUUUUCCCUUUGUUGGUAAGAAUCUGUAUCCUUUCACUGUAAGGCUAUGUCGGCUUACUAUGUAGCAAAUAAAUCAUCAGGUCUGAGGGUGGUUUGGAGGACC
rnacentral:lncRNA from 1 species